rnacentral:rRNA from 1 species
CUACGGGACGCUCCAGUGAGGAAUAUUGCACAAUGGGGGGAACCCUGAUGCAGCAACGCCGCGUGGAGGAUGACGCAUUUCGGUGUGUAAACUCCUUUUAUAUGUCAAGAAAAUGACGGUAGCAUAUGAAUAAGCACCGGCUAACUCCGUGCAGCAGCCGCGGUAAUACGGAGGGUGCAAGCGUUACUCGGAAUCACUGGGCGUAAAGGACGCGUAGGCGGGUUGGAAAGUCAGGUGUGAAAUCCUACAGCUUAACUGUAAACUGCACUUGAAACUUCUAAUCUAGAGUAUGGGAGGGGGAGAUGGAAUUAGUGGUGUAGGGGUAAAAUCCGUAGAUAUCACUAGGAAUACCUAAAGCGAAGGCGAUCUCCUGGAACAUUACUGACGCUAAGGCGUGAAAGCGUGGGGAGCAAACAGGAUUAGAUACCCUCGUAGUC